rnacentral:rRNA from 1 species
UAUGGCCAUACCACCCUGAAUGCACCCGAUCUGGUCUGAUCUCGGAAGCUAAGCGGGGUCGGGCCUGGUUAGUACUUGGAUGGGAGAAAUAGGUUUUCCCCAUUU